GGGCGGAUGGUUUAGUGGUAUAAUUUUCCCUUAGCAUGGUCUGUUCCUCUGGAAUCAGAAUAAAACCGCUUGCUUGGGAAAGGUCCGGGGUUCGAUUCCCCGUUCGUCCA
rnacentral:tRNA from 2 species